AACGAACGCUGGCGGCAGGCUUAACACAUGCAAGUCGAACGCCCCGCAAGGGGAGUGGCAGACGGGUGAGUAACGCGUGGGAAUCUACCGUGCCCUGCGGAAUAGCUCCGGGAAACUGGAAUUAAUACCGCAUACGCCCUACGGGGGAAAGAUUUAUCGGGGUAUGAUGAGCCCGCGUUGGAUUAGCUAGUUGGUGGGGU
rnacentral:rRNA from 1 species